rnacentral:rRNA from 1 species
CCUACGGGCGGCAGCAGUGAGGAAUAUUGGUCAAUGGACGAGAGUCUGAACCAGCCAAGUAGCGUGAAGGAUGACUGCCCUACGGGUUGUAAACUUCUUUUAUAUGGGAAUAAAAUGUUCCACGUGUGGGAUUUUGUAUGUACCAUAUGAAUAAGGAUCGGCUAACUCCGGGCCAGCAGCCGCGGUAAUACGGAGGAUCCGAGCGUUAUCCGGAUUUAUUGGGUUUAAAGGGAGCGUAGGUGGAUUGUUAAGUCAGUUGUGAAAGUUUGCGGCUCAACCGUAAAAUUGCAGUUGAAACUGGCAGUCUUGAGUACAGUAGAGGUGGGCGGAAUUCGUGGUGUAGCGGUGAAAUGCUUAGAUAUCACGAAGAACUCCGAUUGCGAAGGCAGUUCACUGGACUGCAACUGACACUGAGGCUCGAAAGUGUGGGUAUCAAACAGGAUUAGAUACCCUUGUAGUC